UCUCGUCUGAAAAAAGUUGUUUAAUUACGUCAAAGAAGUUACUCAAUGGGCUGCCUGGGUACACAAAACAGAGGAGACAAAAAAAGAAAGAAAGAAAGAAAGAAAGAAAAAAAAAAAACGAGAGGGAAAGAGAGAGAAAAAAGAGGAGAGAAAGAGAGAGAACAAACAAACAAAUGAACAAUGGGGUUUUUAACGAGAAGAACAUGAUGAGGAGAUCCAGAGCCACGUGCGUGGGGGUGUGUGGGGGAUGAAGACAAUGAGCAGGAAGAGGAAGAGUGUUUAGGAUGGGACACCUACAGAAAUAAAGAGGCUGGGAGCAUCAAGCACCUACGGGUAAGUCCUAGUUUGGUCCUGAGCAGGUGGGCACAGCUGUCUCACCUACCAAGAGGAUGCAGCACCACAUCGCUGAAAUACAUAGUUCGGUCUAUGACUUGCAGUCAUUUGGCCAUUCCGCACUGAAACAUCAGUGAACGUAAUGUGGGACACAGGCAAAUCCCAUCUUAUUGUCGAUGUUACAAAUGUCGUCGUUGUUUUUUUGUUUUGGCUUUGUUUUUUAUGUGGUUGCCAAUUGAUGCUUCGCUUUGCAGCCCUGCUAAGUUACAUGGCUGCACUGGGCAUUAUGCUUUUCUGCUUGCAUUUUGUUUCUGAGUAUCUCCUUGCUCGCUUUUUAGACACUAAACCUCAAAUGCUUAAGUGCUCCAAGGGAGAAAGCAUUUGAAAAACAAGCGAUGGCUGACACGACUACCUCCGUCUGUAUGUGUGGUUUGUGGCUUGUGCUUACAAGCUUUUAAGCAUCUUCAGAUCCGUCUUACAACAAGCACCUGGAAAUGGAGAUACUGAAUGCUUUGUAGAAGCAGGUUGUUGUAUUUCUGCAUGUAUUUCUGGCACCUGCCAGGGUCAAGAACUACUUUCUCAUUGUCCUGAAUUUAUUGUUUUGCUACAAUACAGCCUCCAGAACACAGACAUUCAUUUCAGCGGAGCUAGGAGCCACAGAAGGAUGAAGGACUGCAUGCUGGUGGAACAGGUAUCUCAUUAAGCCAGCCAGAGGAGCAGGCUACAGAAAUAACAUGGGUUGGCACUGUACAUAUGUUAGAAUAUAAUCUUUCAUGCCAUUUGAAGAAGUCUUUUUGUUCACCAUUUCACCUUCUGAUUAAAUCCAAGAUUCACUUUACCAAAGCCAUUUUGUAGUGGGGAGCACGAUGCAUCACAGAUGCACCUCCAGGAGCCAAAAGGAACAGACAGACCCUGGACUGACUGUAAUGAGUCUUCUUCUAAAGCCCUCUAAAUGUGGGCAUCUGAGAAUUCUCAAUUAACAAAGCACAAAUAUUCUAUAAAAAGCUUUCAUGUGCUUGACUAACAGCUAUGUGCUGGGUUUAAUUAUGCAGCUCCAAGAUGGUUACAUGCAAUGCCUUAACUGGUCCUCAAAGGCCAGACAAUCUUUUUUUCAUUCCUGACUGCCUUAAGUCCAAUGCAAUGAAAGACCCAGCUGUGUUUCAGCAUGAGCGAUAUCAAUCCAGGAACGGUCCACAGAGGUUUCAUGGCACAGCAGCUUGGGCUGGACCUGCUAAGGGGAUAGGAUGUCUUUACAAUGACUCUCUGGCCUAUCCGCUGAAGAUGAGACCUGUACAGCAGAUUCUUUCUUUACACUCUAAUUCCCACUGCAAUGAUGUGUACACCUCCGUGCCUCUACGUUACCGUGGAAGGUCAUACUUGAAGAAAACCUCAUGGUGCUCUUCUCAGUACUGGGGCCGUUGGCUCCACUGUUAUAACAAAUUCAAAUCAAGUAAUUUAUACCCCAUCUAAGUGAUUUCAUCCUCCAGCCCCCAGAAGGAAGGAAACAGGCUCCUUGUUUCUGCCAUGCAGUGAUGUGGUAUGCUAUGAAGAGUGGGACCUUUCAUCCCUGAGAUGACAACAUUCAGUCCAGAGCAAAGAGGUUUCUUCAUAGCAGAGAUCCCCAUUCACCCACAGCUAGUGGAAGCUGUCGGCUUCGUAAUAUUCUAUUUCUUUUCACUUGUAUUACACACAUAAGCAAAUUGGUUACCACAGUGGGCAAGUACUGUCUCUGUGUGGUAACUCAUCUGAAGGAUUUGUAGCAUGCUUUCUUACUCUCUAAUGGAAGAUGCUAGACAGACAUCAACUGUUGAUACGCAAAGAAAAUGAAAAAAAGAUAGUAUUUGUGCCCUCCAAAACUGAAUGUAUUACUCUUCUGCUGCUGCCCCAUGCUAGCCAUGUAGUUGCUGCUGCUUUCCUCUGUGUGACAACAGGAAUUGAGAAAAAUCACAUGGCUGGCAUAGAGAGAGAUGGAUCUCAGUCUUACUCAUCUAAUCCGUUCCUUGCCUUCCGGUACUUGCUGUUUUGUGUUUAACUUACUGCUGGCCCUGCUUCCGUCUAUGUGCUCAAUUAUACCAAUGCCCCAAGCAAAUGGCUGUUAGUUUCUGGAAGGGCAUUUUUCAGCUAACAGAUUCAUAGAUGGGCCUAAACAAGCAGCCAGGAAAAACACAUAACUCACAUUCUGGCUAAUAUAGGAAAACCUACCAAACUCUCAGCUAUUUCUGGGUCACAGCUCUGUGAGCUCCACCUGCCUCCUUCCAUAUGCGUGCAAACGCUUUGGAAUGGGGAUAUCUCUUCCACAUCUAUAACUUCUAAUUCACCCUAAGCCGCUCUGAACGCAUGCCGUGCUCACAGUCAUUUAAUAUCUGCACUGACUCAUUUCUACUUCAAGAGAAUGUUCUCUUUCAAUGAAAAAAUAAAUCAAACACUCAGCCUUGAUUGCAGGAAUGUGGACAAAUCUGGUCAUUAUGUGGCUUUGGACCCCUCAUCCUCAUAAGCAAAUGGAGUCAGCAGAGAGAAUGAAAAAGAGCACUGAAAAAAAUGCUGGAGAGGGAAAGACUGCUAGGUUGGGAGAAAAGGGGAGGGAAGUAUCUCUAGUUAUUCAGCUGAGCAGUUUAUUCAACAAGCUUAGAGGGAAAGGGAAAGAGGAGGGCAGAGAAAGCAGCGCUCUGCAGGAACUGGGGAAAUUUUAGUUUUCACGUAGACAGGAACGGGGGACGAAAGUACAACUUGCAAAAAGGGAGCAAUAAAACAUUUCUAAAAUUGUACGUAAAUACCUGGUAUUUAACAGGUUCUGAUACAGGAUCUUUAAUCAUCCUAUUAAAAUAUGCAGCCCCUGUUUCAUCCACCCUUUCUCCUUCCCAUGCCCUACUGGCUUUCAAGUACCUGGAGAUUUACUGCAGCAAAGAGUAUUUAACAAUCUGCUUUUUCUUUGCCUGUAUCACUACUGGAUUUCUUACAAUCAGCAUUUUUCAGGUAAAAUUUUAAUGGGAAGCAGGAAAUCCUUAGGGAUAUUGAAUGAGAGCUACUGAAAAAUAAAAUAGGCCAUUUCACUAACCCCUUCCUUUCUUUGCCUUUCAUAGUGUCUGGACUUGUAAUUAAAAACUUGGUAUUAAUCCUUUCAUAUCUUGCAGUUAUGAAAGGACUGAUCCUAAGCCAAGCACUACAGACAAUCACAUUGAUGUUAUCUACACGACAGCUUGUUAGCCCACGCUCGGGCUUGUCUAGAUAUUGGCCUUUGAACAGACAAAGAGUCCUCACAUUUCUCUCUGGGGAUAUGUAAACAUAGGUCAGCUAUGCUGGAAGCAUGAAAAUGGUGACUGUUGUUGCUCCUUUCAGUUUUCAGUUGCCUCUGGGCUGCUACGGCCAGUAAAACAAGACUUGAAAACGCAGGUGAUUAUUGUUAGAAUUGUUUUUUCAGCAAUCUUCCACUCCUAGCCCUCAGUACAAAAUACGUGACAGGUUCUUAGACCUGCAAGCCCAUCUGGGGGACUCAAAGAGACUUCCUCUCUUAUUUAAAAAAGUGAGAUGACAUCCCAUUUCCUCCAGACAGGGAUGAAGGUUUGGCUCUCUGAUUUUUCAAAACUUCCCUGGUAUUUCAUGCAUCUGUAACUAAGGUCUUCUUCCCCCUUGAGAGCAAACGUUCACCAACAUAGAGUAAAGAAGGCAUGAAGGGCAGAAAGGGUGAGAAACUGUGAGAAGGUUCAGAAGCAGGAAGGGAGGUUCAGAGCAUUAGGUUUACUUCUGUUAGGAGGAGAUGGAUAUGUGCAUUUCUGAGUUAGUCCGAGGAGCCGGAUGCUGCAAGAUGGGGAGGGGAAUGAGUUUGAAAACAAGCACUGAAGCUCAUGAAAGGGUCAUGUGUUGAAGGAACACUAAAGAAAUAGAUUUAUGGAGAAGGCACUAAUGUGUGGCACCUGUGUGCAGCACCGUCAUGGCCAAAUUCCUCAAAAUAAGUGAAUGUAUUUUAACACAACAGACAGUAAAAGGAAGAAAAGGGGCUUGGAACGGGCACUAAGAAGUAAAAGGAAGCUGGGCAGAUAUCUUGUAUCAACCCUCAGAGUACUCUAUCUCAUUUGCUGUUCUGUAGUAGUGUCCCAGGGGCUAGGAGCAAAGUUGAACUGGCGCAUCCAAGUUAAGAGAGGAAAGAGAAAAGGAGGUGAUGCACUCCAGGUACCAGGAGCGGCACCAGAAUAGGAUUCAUCUGCUCUGACCUUGCCACGACCCUCAGAGUCCUUCACAGGAAAUUAACAAGUAGGGAACAAGAAGCUUCAGGACAGGCUUGGAGGCUUCUAUCUCUAAAUGGAGUCUGCUCUUUUAUAACAUUUUAAGAUAGCCAUAUAAGGACUUGGUCCUGUUUUGAUUCAAGCAAAUGGCAGCAUUCCCACUGACUUAGUGAAAGCAAACUUUCUUGUCCUGUGAAAACAUCUCUCUUACAUCUAUAAUGGCAUUUAAUGCACUAAUCUUUUCGGUGCUGACCACAAAGCUGAACAAAGCAAAUAUGUCAUCUGUGGGAUUAUUCUGUGCCUUUCCUUUCUCAGUGGCCUGAUAAAUUAUUUAAUUUCUGCAUUUUUAACUUAGGCUUUGGAAGAAAGUGAAUGGGAAAACAUUGGUCUCCACUGGAAAGAGAGAGAGACGCUUUGUCAACCUGAUUUCCCACACACCUUCUCUCAUUGCUUUCACAUCCUUUCUGUUUGCCUUCUGCCUGCCUCUGCUGCUUGCAACACAAAUUCCUUUCCCUUCAUCCCUUGGAGGGUUUGUUGUUGCUGCUGUUGUUUGUUUUUGUUCUGUUUUUCUUUUUUUUUAACCCUAGUUUGCUCUUCAUCACAACAGCAGCCACAUUUUCAGUGAAUCAUAGCAAAAAAAACCAACUCUUUCCACAUAAUGCAUCGAAACACUUUUUGGAUGACUGAUAAUCCACUCCCUUUCAAUCCCAUUCUGCCACUCUGACAGAGUUCGAUCCCUCUUUGUUAAGACUAAGAAUGUUUGUUUUCUGUUGGCAGAGUCCCUUCGCCUUCAGUAACAGAAGAUGUAACACAAAGAACCCAUUCCUAGACUAUAUGCAUUGAAAGGGUUGAUGGAGAGGUAAAAGUGGCCUGUUUCUCUGUUCCUACAAGAUUAUGUAGGGUUUUUUUUUUUAUCCAGACCAAAGAGCCCCUGGCCUAGGCAUUCUACAAAUGCAAAUCAGAGAGAGGCCUUAAGGAGCUCACUUACUGCCAAGGAAGACUGUAAACAGUUUUUGCUCAACCCAUUUAACGUAAGUUGGAUAUAUAAGGUUUCCCUCUGCAAUGGAGAAGGGUGACUGAAAGGCUGUUGCAAUGUCGUGCUGGAAGCCUUCACACAGAACUUCUUCCUAGACUAUGAACCCACCCUACACCACCUGACAUGAGCAGAAGGAAUUGCUGAAAUCCCAGGAGUGGUACUUCUCUGAAAACAUAGGAAGUUUGAAAAGCUUUUCAGGUAAAAAGUACGUGGUUUUAUAUUUGCUAGGUUUUUUGAACUGUCAUGAUAGAUUGACCACAACGUGUUCUCCCAGUACUUUUUUCCCCACUAAGUUAUAUAAUGAGAUGGCUGUUUUAGUUUUAGUUUUUGGUUUAGGACUAGAAAAUGGGGACAGGCUGAGUCCACAGAACAACUCGAAUUUCUUAGCAGGACAAAUGAAUUGUAGCUGGGAAAGACUACUUCCAAAGGAAGCAACAGAGCUUCUUUUCCAGAGCCCAUGGACUCUGGCAGUAAAAGAGCCAGCCGAUAACAGUGUUUGCAGGAACAGAACGCUGCUGGGAACUGUUCAGCUAAUCAGACACUGUUAGCACAGGUGUCCAAGGUAUUGGCAGGAGGUGAGAACUUUCAGCUGCUACACAUCUGAGCAGAUUCAACCAAUCUGACAUGUAGAUGCUAUAUAACCUAUCCUUGUUCUUACCACACUAAAACAUGCCUUCUCCUAUGCAGGAGGGAUUCUGCUCUGUCUUGUGUGCUUUCUCUCUCUCAUACACUCACAGAGAAACUGAAAUUCAGGUCAGCCUCUCCUGUCACAGGCAAUAUAACAGAGACAGGAAGUUCUUGGGCAGUGAGUUAGAGAAUGGUGAAUGCAGCCAGCAAAAACCCAAAUAUACGAGGCCAGUUUCCUAGCUGCUAUGGUCUGCAAAGCUAUAACACAAGUAAUUAAUUAGAAAACAAAUCUCCAUUACGGAUGAAAACCUCUAACCACUUCAGUGGCACCACAUAAUAUUCAAAAAAGGAGACAUGAUGAUGGAGAGGAGGGAAUCGUGUGCUCACUUGGACAGCUGGCGGCACUGAAAGAGCAGGCAAGGAUAGAGCUGGGAUGAAGAGAUGCCAGAUUCUGUUGUGGAAUCACGCUGUUCUGGCAAACUGGCUGGUAAAGGACUCAGCCCAAGAAUGCUUUGUAUCUGUCUCUCCUUUUACGAAGAUCUGCCUGCACAAGUGUGUGAUGAGAGGGGAAGCUGAUGAUCUAUACUCAUAAAGCUGCAACAGAUGAUAUUAUUGCUGCUACCCAUUCUUUUAAAGACUUGAGCUGCUUCAUUCUUCUUCUUUUUUUUUUUUUUCUGUCCAUAAAAAUGUCAAAAAUAUACUGGCACUUAAUGAUACCAUUUUUCCCUUUCCUGACAGAUGGGUGUUUAUGUGUGAUCUUAUGGGCUUUAAGUUCUCAGACCUGCUCCUAAGAAAUAAACUGUGUGUGCUGGAGAAAAGUUAAUUCCCCAUUUCCUUUGAAUCAAUCAAUCCCUUCAAAACAUGAUUCAACUUUUAAGAGAGGCCAUCUCAAAUUCCGCUCAGCACAGCAAGCAAAUAUUCACAUGGAAUAUCCUGAAGUAGUGCUUGCCAUAAGUAAAGUACUGCUAGGUUAAUUAAGAGAGAAGUGUGUUUUCUAUACUAGAUAUUAAAAAAGAAAAGAGGAGAAGAUUUCCUAUUGGGCAGUAAAAGUCUGGCCAUAGGUGUCAAAACAGAACCUGAUACAUAACAAACAUCUUUAUACAUCUGGAGUCAUCUUUAGUGCCAAGCUGCCAUUUUUAUUGCUACCUUCUUCAAUAGUGCCAAAAUAUGAGUUAUGAAUUGGAAGAUAAGUUCCUCCUGAAAGCAGCACUAGAAAGAAGAGAGAUACAACUACUGCGUGGUAUUUGUUUGGACAGCAAAUAACUGGGAAACCUGGCUUGAACUAUUUGGAAAAUCUGACUUAUCUAAGUUAUGAUUCACACGAAUCAUAUCACAUAUUCGCACUAUCAAUAUCACAUGAUUAUGAUAGAAUAUGUGAUCUUUCAGGUGGGCUUCCUCCUUAGAUCUCUCAUUUGGGUCCUAAUUUAUAUCCAUGCCCAUCAAGAAUCAGUUACACUCAGAAAGAUGAGCAGUGAGCACAUUUAUCAGAAAUGCUAAUAAAGAGAACAUUGUUCUGAUGACCUCACAGUGCAACAGUGGUGAACAGAAUCCUUCAGCUGGGAGGGCAGCAUAUACAUAGAUAGAUUUUUUUUCUGCAGGUCUUAGUGCUUCUACCAUCAGUUAUGACUUCAUGAAUGCACAUCACCCACCUUCUCUUCCAUCAAAGCUCAAAUGGCUACUCUAAAAGAGACAGAGUUACUUCAAGUAAGGCCAAUAUGUAUCACUUCUGAGAGCAUCAAAUCCAGAUCUUUGCUGCUUGCCAGUGACGUAACCAAAACCUUCCUGAGAUUCACGAGGGAUGGAAAGCAACAAGAGAAAACUGCUUUACUUGGAACUAAAACUCAGCCCCAGACAGCUACAGUAUAGAGAAUGGGGAGUUACAGGCUCUCUGCUAAGUGCUUCUCAGAAGGUUGUGUGAAGAAUGAGACAGGUUUUCCUGAGCUUUCUGCCAGCCUCCAGCAUCGUGGCGAAACGUGCUUCCUAAGGACUCUAAGAAUUAGAGAUGGUUGGGAAAAGGAGUUAUCAAAGGCUAUGAAACAGCUUUACUACUGAUUCAACCAUCCAAAUAAACUCCCAGCUCACUUAUUAAAGGCCUUAAAGUCA